rnacentral:rRNA from 1 species
AUUGAACGCUGGCGGCAUGCCUAACACAUGCAAGUCGAGCGGAUGAAGGGAGCUUGCUCCUGGAUUCAGCGGCGGACGGGUGAGUAAUGCCUAUGAAUCUGCCUGGUAUUGGUGUAUAAUGUCCUGAAACGGGCGCUAAUACUGCAUACGUCCUGAGGGUGAAAGUGGGUGAGGUUCGGACCUCACGCGAGCAUAUGAGUCUAGGUCGGAUUAGUUAGCUGGUGGGGUGAAGGCCUACCAAGGCGACGAUCCGUAACUGGUCGGAGAGGAUGAUCAGUCACACUGGAACUGAAACACGGUCCAGACUACUACGGGAGGGAGCAGUGGGGAAUAUUGGACAGUGGGCGAAAGCAUGGUACAGCCAUGCCGAGUGUGUGAAGGAGGUCUUCGGAUUGUAAAGACCUUUAAGUUGGGAGAAAGGGCAGUAAGUUAAUACCUUGCUGUUUUGACGUUACCAACAGAAUAAGCACCGGCUAACUUCGUG